rnacentral:ncRNA from 2 species
GAAUAAUAUUGGUAGGUGGAUUCAAGGGAAGCGCUGUGAAAAUCAGCCGCGGUCGCCGCCACUGUAAUUCCAAAAACAGGUUUUUACCUUUGUAUACCACUGUCCUUUCGUGAAAGUGAGGAUGGGAAGGUAGGUAAAGACCGGAUAAGCCAGGAGACCUAUCCGCUGCCACCUUUUGAU